rnacentral:rRNA from 1 species
GGUUUAAUCCCGAUGAUACGUGAGGAACCUUACCAGGGCUAGAAUGCUGGGAGAUUGCAGGUGAAAGCCCUGUUUAGUAGCAAUACACUGCCAGUAAGGUGCUGCAUGGCUGUCGUCAGCUCGUGCCGUGAGGUGUUGGGUUACGUCCCGCAACGAGCGCAACCCCUAUCAUUAGUUGCCAUCAGGUAAAGCUGGGAACUUUAAUGAAACUGCCGUCGCAAGACGUGAGGAAGGAGGGGAUGAUGUCAAGUCAUCAUGGCCUUUAUGCCCUGGGCUACACACGUGCUACAAUGAUAACUACAAAGGGUCGCGACACAGCGAUGUGAAGCUAAUCUCAAAAGAGUUAUCUCAGUUCAGAUCGCAGUCUGCAACUCGACUGCGUGAAGCUGGAAUCGCUAGUAAUCGUAUAUCAGCAAUGAUACGGUGAAUACGUUCCCGGACCUUGCACACACCGCCCGUCAAGCCAUGGAAGCUGGGUGUACCUAAAGUCGUUAACCGCGAGGAGACGCCUAGGGUAAAACUAGUGACUGGGGCUAAGUCGUAACAAGGUAACCAAUC